UCAAUAAUAAUCACACAUAUCAAACAUCAUAAAUCACAUUUUAUGCAUCAUAAAUUAUUAAAUAAAUUCAUAUAUGAUAGAAUCAUAUAUCGAUUUCUCUAACAAUUGCAGAAUCGCAAAAAAAUUGGUAAUGUUUUUAAGAUUAAAUAAAAUAGUAUCGCAAAAAAGGUUAGGACGAUGUUUUGUCUAUGGUUUCUUUAACUAGGGUUUCUUUCAGUGUCGAGAAUCGAAAGCCACAUAAGGGAAUUUGUACAGAAAGUUGAAAUUUUCAGUUAGGGACCUAAGCGGAUGGGGUUCCACAUGGUCGCUCAGCUUGAACCGUCCACCGGCUGAAUACUAUCGUGACGUCACUCGCUACGGUCACUGCCUGAAUUAUUCAGUAUUUCUUCGUUUCUACUUGUACACACUAGCUACCUCUUUGUACCUAAUAGCCAUCUACUAUUCAGAUAAUAUUAUUAUACAGGGUAAAAUGAAUAAAGAAAUCCCCUAGGACAGAAACGUCUGAGGGAAGUCCUGUCUUAAGCGACAAGAGGGUGCAACUCAUGGGGUGCAAGAUUCUAUAUAGUAUAUGUAUGAAAAAAUCAAUUAAGAAGAUUUAGAAUAAAACUUGUUAUUUUAAGUCUUCUUUUUAAUCAAUUUUUGCAACAAAUAUUAACUUUUCAAGGAAUUAUAUAACAUAUUAAUUUUAUCCUUCGAAAUCGUAAAACUGUACGAAUAUUUUCCAAAUGAAUAUAUGUACAUAUAAAACAAAGAAAAAAUUUAGAAGAGGUAAAUAUAAUUACAAAUAGAAAAUUAAACUCGUAAAAUGAAACAGAUUGCGAUAGCACCGAUAAUAAAAAUUAAAAUUAAAAAAAUUAAAAUCCAAAAAAAGUAAAGUUAUUAAGGACGAUUUUCAAAAGACUUAUGCCUGAAUGUGAAACGAAAUCCAGUGCAACUGAUUUAAAACGCAUGAUCACGGAGGAAUCAGAAACGCGAUACGAUCUAGAAAAUAUGUGACAGAAUGAAGCCGUGUAAGAAUAAGAAAGAGAGGAAGACAAAUGUGCGAGGAGGAGAGACAAAUGCAUUAAGGGGUGAUUCCAAAAUGGCGCACCUCCGCCGUCGAAUUUAUUUUUGGUGCAUUCCAGUCAAACGAAUACAGAGAAAGGUCCAACUAACUGGUAACGUGCAGACGAUGUUUCGCUAGGAAGAUUCGUUCCCAUCUUCUUAUUGGAAUACUCAAAUUAUUUUUCUUUUUUCCUUUUUCCUCCUCUCUCUCUUUUUCUCGUCUCUCGCCAUGCUCUCUUUCCAUUUCCGCCGUGGUUACCGCUGCAUAUUCGAACACCGCGAAAGAAAUCUUCGCUACGAUGUUUCUUUUCCCGCCUCUCCGAAUAUUACCGAUGAAGAACGAUCGUGACCGAACGUGCACGUUUCGUCGAUUUUAUCGUUCAGUUAAUUAUUAAAACAAAUAACACCAGUAGUAAUCGUACUCGUUCAUUGACGUUUUUCUUACGGCGAGAUUUUUUACUGAUAAAAUACACAUGGGGAACCGUUGGAAACAAGAAGUACUAUAAUUAAUAUUCCGAUUAUUGUUCCGCGGAAAAAGUACAUCAAUCGAAGCUCGUUAAAUAAGAGGACUCUUGGAAAUAUGUGUUACUGUGUUUACUGUGUGAAUUGAAGAAGAGGUUAUGUUGAAGCUAGUUUUGUGUUUGAUUGAUCUUGUAUAAUAUUGGGUUAAAUAUAAUAAAGAGAUUGAAGAAUAAGAUUCGAGUAUAUUGAAAAUAAAUAAAUAUUUAUGGAUAAUAUCAAUAUUUAAAAAACAUCUAUUACUUAUUAAUUUAAUUCUACAACUUACUUGAAUUCUAACCUUACAUUCUAAUCUUACAAAACAUUUUAAAUCUAUUUUAUGGAAAUCUUAAAAUUUAUAAAUUGUUAAAUUUUUUAGAUUUAAUAGAAUUUUAAAUUCCUAACUUUGCUUUUAAAUUUUAAAAUUAAAAUUGAUUAUCUCCGAUAUUCUGUCCAAAUCAUUCUUCAAUUUCCGAAGAGGGUACCGGGACGAUGUUCGAAUUAAAGUGUAUAAUUACGUGUUUUGUAUACUAGAUGAGCCUGUAUAUUCAUGGUGCAUCAAAUCAUCGAAUUUGCACAUCGGUAUGAUACUCGCGUAAAAUGUAAUUUCCACGGACAAUAAGAUGUAGCGACACGCGGAUGUGGAAUACUAAUCACGAGGUCGAUGAAUCAUAAAAUCACCGGUUCCUUUACUGAGGAUCGAUGAAUUUAAACAUCUAAACAUAAUGAUAACAUUUUCCAUCGGAAUUUUCUUUUUUUAGAGAGCGAAACACAUAGCUCUCUGCUUCUUACGCAAUCUUUUAGUCUAGUUUUUAGUAUUAAAAAAGAAAGAAAAAUGGAACAAAGAAAAAAAAUUGUUUAAAUAUAUUUAAAGAAAAAAUUUUUUUUCUAAGUAUUUUUAGAUUUUAACAAAAUCUGUAUAUCAAACUAAUAAUGAUGUAAUAUUAUAAAUUUUACACAUAUGAAAAUAAAAUCGAAGUUUCAUUUCUAAGAAUGAAAAUAAUGAAAUAACGAAGAAUAAAAAAACAAGAGCAAUUAAAAUGACAGUAUUCAGGAUUCUAGAGAAAGUUAUGAUAGGAAUAUGAUAAGAUUAAAAAAUAAAUAAAAACGAAAAGAUAAAAAAAAUGAACGGAAGUAUGGUUAAUAGUGUGAAUUAUUUAAAGAAUGCUAAGAAGCUAAGAAGAUCAGAUAUAAACUGUGAGAAUGAUUUUCAAUAACAUUAUGAUAUUUUAUCUGACUCAUAUGUAAAUAAAAUCUAAACAGUUACAGAUAAUUUAACAUGUAACACUUUCGUUGUUUUAAUCAAUUAAUUAACCAAUGAAUUGAUUGGUAUAUGUUACAAAUUGCUAAAAAAAGAACCGUUUUGAAAACUAAACGAUAUCGAAGGAUACAUGUAUGGUAAAAACAUAUCAGUUAGCAAUAAUUGAAAGUAAAUUGAAUUCUCAGACGAUGAAAAGUUUCGAGUAAUUAACUGAUUGCUCCACGCAUCUGUUUUAUAAUAAAAAUUGGAUCAAUAUAACAAAAUAAUAUAUUAUUAUAACUGAAAUUUAAAAAUUUAAAAAAAUUGCAAAAAUUCAACAAAGUUUGAAGAUUUCGAAAUUGAUAUAUUCUAUAAUUUAUGAAUACGUGCAAAAAGUAAAGAAUUCAAAUAUAUAACAAUUUAAAAAUCUCAAAGAUGAAAAAAUAUAAUAAUUUAAAGAUACAAGAGUUUUAUCUAGCUUCAACAAAAUAACUUCAUUCCAAACUUUAUUAAUAUCCCUGGUCCUUCAAACUUUAAAUCAAGUGGUAUUUAAUUUCCAAGUGGAUUAAAGUCGAGAAUCUUUUUUCGUCUUUGAAUGAAUGUCUUCCUCUGAAUGGCGUUCCAUUUGGAACACGAUCAGAGACGAUCAACUAUAGACUUCUCGGUUCUAUAGAAAUUCGAUAUGGUUCUCUCUUUUUUCCUCGCGAAUGUUGAAAACGCGGCUUUUGCAGUCUACGAAAACAUUUUCUUCUGUCGCGAACGAAAGGAUCGUGAAACAUGGAAUUGCGCAUGGAAGGAGGAAUUCAGUAGUGCGGAAAAUACGUUCGUCUGCGAAGGAAAUUGCAGUCGGCAAACUUUCCUCGAUACACAUCGACCGCGGUUUCUAACGUAAAAAAUCUUCUUUCGAAGCUUAUACGCUCUUCAUCGAUAUUCUGUUUAAAAACGAAACACUGAUAAACUUUCGUCAUUAACCUAUUGCAAGUUGAAAUUUUUGAAUUCAUGAAUACUUAAAAAGCAAGAUUUGAAUGCAACUUUUAGUUUGUCUAACAAUAUAAAUUCUACGUUAUUCAGAAGUUUCUGAAGUUCGUAGUUUGUAGUAAUAGAAUAAAUAUAGAAUGUAUUUUAGAAGGAAAAUUGGAUCAAUCAAAACUAUUUUGAUGAAACUUUCUUGAAGGUAAUAAUAAUAUUUCAAUGGUAAGCUUUUUUUUUUGUUAUAAUUAAAAACCAUAAAAAUCUCCUAGAAUAUACAAGAAUCAUAUAUAGGUAAUUUUUAAAUCCCUAGUGAUUAAUGACAAAAAUAACUAAAUGAUUAAAUAGCACAUAUAACUAUGUAAAAACAAUUACAUAAAUAUAACUUGAAGAUUAAUUUUCUAUAAAUUUAUAUAGUAGUAAAUCAUAUUUUAUUACAUAGUAAAUCAUGUUUUAUAAAGCUUUUGAUCAUUAGCACAUCCAUUUAUGUAAUUUUCUCGAGAUUCUUAAACUUCGGGAAUUACUAAUCAAACGUGAAUGAUUCUUUCUAUAAAACGCGGCAAGGAUCUCCCUUGUACCCGAUUCCACGAUAUUCUUGCCAAGCGUAUUUUACGAUAUGAUAUUUAAUAUUAAGAUCGUUGGACCGUGGACGUUCCUGGAGUAUGAUAUUACAUACAGUUGUACUCGUAUGUCUCUGCAUGACUUCCAAUACGAGUUAAGCGAUCUCAUCCUCGUGAGAUCGGAAACAUCGAACGACUUGGAAUUUUACAGUUAUGCAUGUAUCAUUCGACAAACCGUUUCGCACGUUCUAUAAUUUCCUUGAUGACAUUACCGAUUCAUCUUUAUGAUUUGUCAUAAACGUUUAUUACUGUUAUCGUCGAUUAUCGAUAAUAAUUUCGCGUAAGAAAAAAAAAUAGAAAUUAUAUUAAACUCCGAAUCGAUUUUUUUUAUAAAUGUAAAUUUAACAUUAAAAAUAUUCGAGAAAUUAACAGAUCGCGUUCAUACAACAUUAUUCCUUCAAUGAAUCAAUGUAUGAAUCAUGUAGGGCUAAUUAUCGAUAAAAAUAAAAAUAUUCAAAAUUUUAAUUUAGAUAACAUUUCAAUAUCUUUUCUGUAUGAUCAUUAAAGAUUUUGUCCAAUAAUAAGUUAUAUAUUUUAUAUCUAAGCUUUUAAGAAUUCAAAAAUUACCCGCGGAUUUUAAAUUACGCGGUUUAUCGGCGCUCCAAAUGCGCGCGAUAUUUAAACAUCUAUCGUAUCCUAAAUAUAACAAACCUAAAUAUCAACAAUUGCGCUAAAUUUAAACAUCACCAAUUAUUAGAGAACAAUAAUUAAAACUUAUCAAAAGCUAUAAUAACAUAUCUUUUUUUGUGAUUUCAGAACAAUCAUCAUCAGUUUCGCCAUAAACGAAUCAACAAACUCACAAAAAGGAUAGAAAAAACACUGGAUGCUGGAAUCUAAUUCUGUACCUAACUCUCGGCCUUGAGCAUCUUCUACAUCCCUAACAUUCCACAUUCCUUUACUUUGAAACACUAAGCGCACGCGAUUCCUCGUUUCUUUUAUACUUCCUUCUCUGGCAGAAUCACGAUUUUCUGUCUUUCCAUUUUAUUCCACUAUUCUAUACGUUCGAUUAACCGGUUUCUUACGAUUUCAACGAAUUACGUCUAAAAUUCCAUGGAUACAAUCUUUCCGUUCCUAGUAACAUUCUUUCAUAUAAUCGUCUCCUUUUUACCUACUUUUUUUUACUUAUUUUUCCUUUUCUAUAUUUUCUUCGUUUCAUACCUUUUUGCAUAGUUCACUACCGAGUCUAUCGUUUCUUUCGUUCCUACACGAUUUAACGGGCAAUUUAGUGUCACGCUGAUUUCGCAUGACAUUCCGUUCGCAGCACGUGGGUCGCUUCGCGAUGACCCAACGCGUGUUAAACCGUUCCAGAAGAAGAUUAGAACGAACUGCUUCCGUCUUUUUUAAACAGCUUGCGCAAUUUUUAGAUUAAUUUUAGAUCGAAGAGGGAUCGAAACGCGACAGCUGUUGUUUGAAAGAACGAAAAGAACUCGAUUAAUCGUUCAAUUCCCUCAAAUUAAAAUGUAUUUCUUAACCUCUUUCGAAACCAUUUUUCAUAAAUGUAUAAAAAUGCAUAUAUAUAAAAAUAUUUUAUCAACUAAUAUAUAUAUGUUUUUGCUAUAAUUUGCAUUAUUAUUAAUUUCAAAUGUUAAUAAAAUGUUUCAUAUACGUGCACAUAUAUUAGAUAUUAAGUAAACAAAAUUCUCGAUUCUUAAUACUAUUUUCUUAUCCUUCCGUUAUCUAAUUAAAUUCGAUAAGAAAUAUUUAAAUUGGUUACAAAUAUUUAAAUUGAAUACAUAUCAAAUAACAAAAAAACUUGAUUAUGUUUUUCUCAGUUAGUAAAUAAUCUCGUCUUAUUUUAUAUAUUACAGAUUAAAUUACAACAAACAUGACUACAAUUAUGAUAGUAGAACCGAGAUGGAAAGAGCCACUGUAUAAACAGCGUGAAAGGAAUAACUGCUAGUGUAGGCCGUAUUUAAGUCUGUAUCAUAAUGGUGCGAUGGCGAAAGGAAUAUAGACAGGCGAAGAAUUAGAAUCACGGGCGGCGCGAAAUUCCAGUCGCCUUUUUUACGGUCCCCAGAUGGAAAUAGAUGGCGAGAGAAAUACAGAGAGAAUGAGAGAGAGAGCGCCAAGCUUCGACGAAGAGCGUGAGAAAACGACCUCAGAGUUCACCUCGUUCUAGGCGUCUUAAUGCCGCAUCCACAAUGAAUGAUUCACGUACAAAAAUAACAUAGCACUAUUUACAUUUCAUAAACGAACAUAUAUAUAUAUAUAUAGGAGAAAAAAAAACAAAGAAAAAAAAUGAUAAAAAAUAUUCGUGUGGAUGUUUCGAAAUUCCGAAAGUGAAAAUUUUUUAAAACUUCUAACUUCCGCUUUGAGCGGUAAUCGAGUUUUCUGUAUAUACACAUCCCUAUCCUUUUGUCGAGUAAUAGACUCCAUUGCAGGCUUAUUAGUGAUUAGAGAGUGAUUAGAGAGUAAUUCGCUGACUUCAAUUGUCAGCCGAACAAUUCUAUUCAGUACAAUCUACACGAGAGGUAGAGAGAUAGUUUUAGAGGCGAGUUGAGAAACGAUUAUAAUAUAUAUAUAUUGAAAGAACAAUAUCGUGUUUAAAAAAAGUGAAGAAAUUAGAUUCAAAGAAUGUUUGUCAACACGAUUUGAUAAAUAAAUGUAAAAAAAGAUUAAUAUAAGAAUGGAUGAAUUAAAAGGAUAUAUAGAUGUCAAUGUAAAAUAUGCUGAAAAGAAGCAAAACGAAAUAAAUGAUAUAUAAAAUUACUGCUAAAAAAAUAGAAAAAUUAUAAAUUAUUGAUAGUUCUAAUUUUUUCCUCCGUAUCAUGAUAAUGUCGUACGAAAUGAAAAAGUUAGAAAAGAAAUGGAAUUAAGGAAAACAGAAAAAGAAAGAGGAAGUAAGUAAUAUAUAUUAAUAAAUAAUUAAUCAGAGAUUAAAAUAGA